rnacentral:sRNA from 20 species
CCCCAGUCUGCGGGGCGCUUAUGCGGAGCGGUAAGCAGACCAUGGACCAGCCAGCGGUUGUCCAUGUCAGUAGAAAAACACUGGCAGCC